rnacentral:lncRNA from 1 species
AUGUUUUUGCCUAUCAGAGAGAAGAGAGACCGAGAGAGAAGGAGAAGGCGGGCGGAGGGAAGAGAGGAAGGAGGAUGGAGGGGACAGAAGGCCAUAGACAUUGCUGGCUGGUGCUGGCUCCUUCCUCAGACUGUAUCUCACACUGGAACCAAGUGGGAGGGCAGCACCCAGCUCUGCCAGGUGAAAAGGACGUGCAGAAAGCCUGGCCAUUUGCCCACGUCCCACAGCUUGUGAAGAUUCCGUGGAAGCUGCAGGAAGAAGCUUGGGUCUCAGGUAAAGCGGGAACGUGUUACUCCUAGCUGCAGAACAAGCCCCGAAUGCACCAAACUAGCCACCUCCGUGUCGUCAGACCCAGCCGGUCGGCCCCUCAUCCGGUGUGGUGUUGGGUGCGCUGGUGGUGACAUGGUUGGGUUUGGUAUCCCACCUUGCUGUUCCCUGUGUGGCUCCUCCUCUCUCUCCAGCCUUCUCAGUCUUUUCCUGUAGUGACACUCAGCAGAGUCAUCAGAGCAGACCAUUCUUGCUGGCUCAGAAACUGCCUUGUUGUUGAGACAGGGUCUCCCUAUGCGAUUCAGGCUGGUAUCCAACUCACAGUGAUCCUCCUGCCUCAGCCUCCCGAGUGCUGGCACUACAGGUGUGCACCAUCAUGCGCAGUACCAGGAUCAAUGUGUGGGCCGUCAUAGCGUCUGUAUUGAACUGACUGAAGUGGUCCCAGGCAUCGACCAGAUUCAUAAGGAGGGGCGGGAGGAGGGUGCUGAUGGUGGAAGGGGGGAACGUGUGGAGCCAUCUUUGGAUUCUGGCCAUCUGAGUUCAACUUUUCUUCUAGGAACAAUGGCCUGGCAGCCUUCAAGAGGCUAGACUAAGAGAAAAGGCUAAUGCCAUGAAGAUGAAUUAUGAUGCCCCUGCAUCAACUUCUUUUUUUUACUCCUCAUGUUGCUAUGGAAAGACCAGAGUAAUUGUAUUUUAAUAAUAAUAAAACAAUAAUCGUACUCAUCUACAU